GACGAACGCUGGCGGCGUGCUUAACACAUGCAAGUCGAGCGAUGAAGCACCUUCGGGUGUGGAUUAGCGGCGAACGGGUGAGGAACACGUGAGGAAUCUGCCUUUCACUUCGGGAUAACUACGGGAAACCGGGGCUAAUACCGGAUAUUUUCAACUGGCGGCAUCGCCGGUUGAAGAAAGUUUUUCGGUGAAAGAUGACCUCGCGGCCUAUCAGCUUGUUGGUGAGGUAAUGGCUCACCAAGGCGACGACGGGUAGCCGGCCUGAGAGGGCGAGCGGCCGCACUGGGACUGGGACACGGCCCAGACUCCUACGGGAGGCAGCAGUGGGGAAUAUUGGGCAAUGGAGGAAACUCUGACCCAGCGAUGCCGCGUGAGGGAUGAAGGCCUUCGGGUUGUAAACCUCUUUCAGCAGGGAAUAAGCGAAAGUGAAGGUACCUGCAGAAGAAGCACCGGCUAACUAUGUGCCAGCCGCCGCAGUAA
rnacentral:rRNA from 1 species